rnacentral:rRNA from 1 species
GUGAGGAAUUUUCCGCAAUGGGCGAAAGCCUGACGGAGCAAUGCCGCGUGAAGGAUGAAGGCCUAUGGGUUGUAAACUUCUUUUCUCAGAAAAGAAUUAUGACGGUAUCUGAGGAAUAAGCAUCGGCUAACUCUGUGCCAGCAGCCGCGGUAAGACAGAGGAUGCAAGCGUUAUCCGGAAUGAUUGGGCGUAAAGCGUCUGUAGGUUGUUUAAAAAGUAUUCUGUCAAAGAUUAGGGCUUAACCCUAGAUAGGCAGAAUAAACUUUUAAGCUAGAGUUUGGUAGAGGCAGAGGGAAUUCCCGGUGGAGCGGUGAAAUGCGUAGAUAUCGGGAGGAACACCAAAGGCGAAGGCACUCUGCUGGGCCAAUACUAACACUGAGAGACGAAAGCGAGGGGAGCAAAUGGGAUUAGAUACACCGGUAGUCC